rnacentral:tRNA from 1 species
GGAGGGUAUAGCUCAGUGGUAGAGUGUGUGCCUGGCAUGUAUGAGGUCCUGGGUUCAAUCCCCAGUACCUCCA